rnacentral:rRNA from 1 species
AGAGCGAACGCUGGCGGCGUGCCUAACACAUGCAAGUCGAACGUGAAAUGGGGCAACCCAAAGUAAAGUGGCGCACGGGUGAGUAACGCGUAGGUAAUCUACCUGAUUGUUCGGAAUAACCUGCCGAAAGGCGGGCUAAUACUGGAUAGAGCGAGGAACACGUAAGGUGUUUUUCGGGAAAGGGGGCUUUUCAAAAAGCUCUCGCAAUCGGAUGAGCCUGCGUCUCAUUAGCUAGUUGGUGAGGUAAUGGCUCACCAAGGCUGUGAUGAGUAGCUGGUCUAAGAGGAUGAUCAGCCACACUGGAACUGAAACACGGUCCAGACUCCUACGGGAGCAGCAGUGGGGAAUCUUGCGCAAUGGACGAAAGUCUGACGCAGCCACGCCGCGU